AUUGAACGCUGGCGGCAGGCCUAACACAUGCAAGUCGAACGAGUGGCGGACGGGUGAGUAAGGUCUGGGAAACUGCCUGAUGGAGGGGGAUAACUACUGGAAACGGUAGCUAAUACCGCAUACCACCAGACGGGCCCAGAUGGGAUAAGCGUGUUGGUGGGGUAAAGGCUCACCAAGGCGACGAUCCCUAGCUGGUCUGAGAGGAUGACCCGCCACACUGGAACUGAGACACGGUCCAGACUCCUACGUGAGGCAGCAGUGGGGAAUAUUGCGCAAUUGGCGCGAGCCUGAUGCAGCCAUGCCGCGUGUAUGAAGAAGGCCUUCGGGUUGUAAAGUACUUUCAGUGGGGAAGCGUUACCCGCAGAAGAGGCACCGGCUGACUCCGUGCCAGCCGCCGCGGUAAUUC
rnacentral:rRNA from 1 species